AGCAGUUAUCAUUGGAAUUAGGGAUUCAAAUCCUGCAGCCACUUCAUCUCUUGCUUUGAAUUCGUUAGGCACCCCCCUUGGCACACCUAUGGCAUCAAUAUACACAUGGGGGUCGAAGCUCCCUCGGAUAGGGGUCUCUCGUUUGGUUCUAGAGUGUACAUGUGUGAGGUUUAACGUGUUAUGGUUACCAUCUGGAAUGAUAUGGAUAGGCAUUAUGACUUUAGUUAGGGCACACUCCCCCCACCAUUGCCCAGUUAAUUGGGACCUCAAUUGUUUAUCACCACAUAACCAAUAGAUAUCACCGAUUGUCUUUGUGUGAUUCAUUAGCAGUGAUACGGGUGGAUUAUGGUAAGUUGAGCAGUAUCCUGAUGGGAAUUUGCCCAGAUACAAACCGGUGUUCUUAGAUAUUG